CAGCUGAACACCCCAGCAGCGCUAGGCGACAGCAGUGGCUCCUGAGACCUCCACACCAGAGUUCCGCACACAUUCAAGGCCACCACCUCCUUCGUGCUCCUCUCUGAUCACCUCUCCAAGUCCUGGUGUCAGGAGCCUUCUCUGUGGCCCCCCUGGAGAGACUUGAGCCUGGGGCGUGACCUGCUGGGCUGUGAAGGUUUCCGAGAAGAGAAACCUGUGGCCUGACCUGCCUGGAUGCUGCACCCAACCUCAUCUCUUCCUGGGAGGCAGGCUCUCUUCGCUUGUUUUUACAAAUUUGAAACCAACAACUGUCAGCAUUAACACCAUCAGGCAUUUCUCUUCUAAUUUAGCCUUGCAGCCGACCACACGGCUAGCUGUGCGUGAUCUCUCCCCAAGCGCAAGGACGUGAGAUGCGGAUCAGGCCCAAGAGGCUGGAUGCCAAACCUAUCCUCUCCAUGUGAAGCACCAACUUGGGGGUGUCAACUAAAAAUAUGAGACCCGUAAACUUGGAAAGGAGGACUUUAUUUCUUGAGAAGGGUUGCAGACUGCAGGCUGGGAAGUGGCACCUCCAGCUGAGACCACAAACAGUGGACUUUCUCAAACUGGGGUAUUGACCUCUGAUGAACCGCCAUCCAAACCCGUGCCUUUCAACAUAAAAAGAAGCCCUUCGAGGUGCUCAGCUUAAGCUUGCUAGAGGAGGAGGAAGAGCAGGUUGAGUCUGACAUAAUUAGAAUGGGUUGAGCCUUUCCAGCAGAGUAAGGUUCUUUCAUGGUGGACAGUGGCCACCCACUGCCAUUUCUACAAGAAGAUUUUGCUUCUUA